GGGGGAGUAGAGCAGUUUGGUAGCUCACGAGGCUCAUAAUCUCGAAGUCACGGGUUCAAAUCCCGUCUCCCCAC
rnacentral:tRNA from 2 species